rnacentral:rRNA from 1 species
GUGGGGAAUUUUGGACAAUGGGCGAAAGCCUGAUCCAGCAACGCCGCGUGAGUGAUGAAGGCCUUCGGGUUGUAAAGCUCUGUCGGUUGGAACGAAUAAGGGACACCUAACACGUGUCCCGACGACGGUACCAGCAAAGGAAGCACCGGCUAACUCUGUGCCAGCAGCCGCGGUAAGACAGAGGGUGCAAGCGUUGUUCGGAAUUACUGGGCGUAAAGCGUGCGUAGGCGGUGAAGUGUGUCUGGUGUGAAAUCCCUCGGCUCAACCGGGGAACGGCAUUGGAAACUACUUCGCUGGAGUUCAGGAGAGGGUGGCGGAAUUCCUGGUGUAGAGGUGAAAUUCGUAGAUACCAGGAGGAACACCGGAGGCGAAGGCGGCCACCUGGCCUGAUACUGACGCUCAGGCACGAAAGCGUGGGGAGCAAACAGGAUUAGAAACCCUGGUAGUCC